rnacentral:tRNA from 1 species
GGGGCGGUAUCCCCUCCGUCUUAUACGCGGUUGAAAGGGUAGUUGGUACACGUGGGUUCAAUUCCCACCCGCCCUACCA